GGAUGGAGGAGCGGCUCCGAGUGACACCACACGAGUGGCAGGUCACCUUCUCCGCGCACCCCCGAGGAGAUGGUGAGUUACAGCCCUGCGUGCUGUGAGCAGGAAACACAGAUGGCCUCAUGAAGCAGGUUUUCUCCUGAGAAAACUAAGCCCUGUGGGAGCUCUUGGAGAGGAUUUCACAUGAACAAAGAAAAGAGAUCACGGUGAAGUUCUGAUCUGCACAGAUGUGUCUCCUUGCCAGUCUUGUCGUGAUGUUCCAGCUGCAAUGACGAGUGCCUUUCACCUUCUUUUAUACCACCCCAGAAACCACAGAAACAAUAGAAAUGAUCUCUACAGCACUUUGUGACUAAGACCUUUCCUCUCAUGUCAGUGAAAUGAGACAGCUCCCUGUUUCCAGUGAUAACAAAUCUUGGAUUCUAAAAUGUUCUGUUCAGCUGUGACUAAGGAAAAGA